rnacentral:RNase_P_RNA from 1 species
UGAGUAUGAAAGGUAAUCGCCAGUACGAAGGUAUUGGAGGAAAGUCCGAGCUCCGUAGGGCAGGAUGCCGGAUAACGUCCGGCGAAGGUGACUUUAGGGACAGUGCCACAGAAAUGUGUACCGCCACGUAAGUGGUAAGGGUGGAACGGUGCGGUAAGAGCGCACCAGCGCGCCGGCAACGGCGCGGCUUGGAAAACCCCAUCUGGAGCAAGCGCAAAUAGGAACGCGACACGGUUGCCCGCCGUACGUUCGGGUUGCGUGCUAGAGGCGUCUGGCGACAGGCGUUCGAGAUAAAUGGUCGUCCAACGACAGAACCCGGCUUACCGGCCCGCUCGCAUU